rnacentral:rRNA from 1 species
UAGUGAAUCUUCCGCAAUGGACGAAAGUCUGACGGAGCAACGCCGCGCGAGUGAAGAAGGAUUUCGGUUCGUAAAACUCUGUUGUUAGGGAAGAAAAAAUGUAUAGUAACUAUAUACAAAAGAGACGGUACCUAACCAGAAAGCCACGGCUAACUACGUGCCAGCAGCCGCGGUAAUACGUAGGUGGCAAGCGUUGUCCGGAAUUAUUGGGCGUAAUGCGCGCGCAGGUGGUUUAGAAAGUCUGAUGUGAAAGCCCACGGCUCAACCGUGGAGGGUCAUUGAAAACUAAUAAACUUGAGUGCAGGAGAGAAAGGUGGAAUUCCUAGUGUAGCGGUGAGAUGCGUAGAGAUUAGGAGGAACAACGGUGGCGAAAGCGGCUUUUUGGCCUGCAACUGACACUGAGGCACGAAAGAGAGGGGAGCAAACAGG